rnacentral:lncRNA from 1 species
CAUGAAUAUGGAUGAGACUCAAAAGACUUGUUCUUGGUCAAUUUGUUUCACAUCAUGAAAAAUGGUUCAGACAGAUAAUCUAUUUAUUUGGACAACUAUAAAAGAAAAAAACCAGACGUUUGCCCAAAAUCAACCUCAAUUUUCUGUCAGUUUUCCAAUAUAGGGAGGAAAUGGCUAGGGUGAACCAUCCUAAGGAACACCGCUUCCCAGAGACUUAGUCAUUUUAAUGGUGUGCUAUCAAUUUAGAGGGUAGAAAGAAAUCCAAGACAAUGCUUAAGGAAAAAUAAUUUGGCACUAAUCUCCAUAAUGGACUGGAUAUUGGAGAGACUGGAGACAGAGAAAUCAGUUAGGACCUGUGAACAAUGCUUCAAUGGAGAUAUACCUUUGACAUUUCUGAUUUCAUUUAUGAGAACAUCAAGAUCAACAAGAUUCAUUUCCUCCAGUGAUUUGUCCACAGACUGAUCAAUUGAAAGGAAUCACACAUUUGAGUUCCAGAUACCUGAGAUCGUCUUUCAAGAUGAGACGACAGGCAAGUAUGUAUCCUGUAGAGGUGAAGACAUCCGGACCUGUGAUAAACUUCAAGCAAUACCAAAGGAUGGAAGAUACACAGACAAAUGGAAAGAACUUUGAAUCAAAGACAUUAUGGAGUAUGAACUUCAGGGUCACGUAAGAUUAAUUGCCGAUCACAUUAACUUCAUAUAUAGGGAAAUACAUUCACAUGCACAUUGGAAUAAAUAUGCAUCCACCACGACA